rnacentral:lncRNA from 1 species
UAAAAAAUGUAUCCAAGAAGAACUGUUAAAUAAAUAUAAGCAAUAAAACUGUAUUGUCAAUGAUUUCAUAGAAUUUAGAUUCAAAUGUUACAAAAGAAGUCUUCAUAAUUUUCAUUAUUCUCUUUCGUUUAAAAAGUCAAACCUUCUUGCUAUCGGAAGCAAAUCACGCAAUUUAAAAUGUUGACAUGCAAAUAUAAAAUCAUAGUUAAAUGGGAAUUACUCUAUGCUUUAAUUAAAUUUAAAAAAUUUGUUCUACGUGGGAAUACACUCCCUUGUACGAUUUUAUUGUACAGUGUAUUGCAAAAAGUUUUGUGCAUAGCGGUCAGGGGCAGGAAGCGACGGAAGUACUUGGUUUAUAAAGUCAGGAAUGUUGCUGUAGAGCUGCAGGAAAGAAAUGGACUAUUCCUGGUCUAAGGGGGUGGCAGCGUUGAUAAAGGAGAGAAAGACGAUGAAGU